rnacentral:piRNA from 1 species
UCUGGAGGCAAUACUGGGAUUAAUU